GACGGCAGCACGGACUUCGGUCUGGUGGCGAGUGGCGAACGGGUGAGUAAUGUAUCGGAACGUGCCUAGUAGCGGGGGAUAACUACGCGAAAGCGUAGCUAAUACCGCAUACGCCCUACGGGGGAAAGCAGGGGAUCGCAAGACCUUGCACUAUUAGAGCGGCCGAUAUCGGAUUAGCUAGUUGGUGGGGUAACGGCUCACCAAGGCGACGAUCCGUAGCUGGUUUGAGAGGACGACCAGCCACACUGGGACUGAGACACGGCCCAGACUCCUACGGGAGGCAGCAGUGGGGAAUUUUGGACAAUGGGGGAAACCCUGAUCCAGCCAUCCCGCGUGUGCGAUGAAGGCCUUCGGGUUGUAAAGCACUUUUGGCAGGAAAGAAACGUCAUGGGCUAAUACCCCGUGAAACUGACGGUACCUGCAGAAUAAGCACCGGCUAACUACGUGCCAGCAGCCGCGGUAAUACGUAGGGUGCAAGCGUUAAUCGGAAUUACUGGGCGU
rnacentral:rRNA from 1 species